rnacentral:rRNA from 1 species
GACGAACGCUGGCGGCGUGCUUAACACAUGCAAGUCGAGCGGAAAGGCCCUGCUUUUGUGGGGUGCUCGAGUGGCGAACGGGUGAGUAACACGUGAGUAACCUGCCCUUGACUUUGGGAUAACUUCAGGAAACUGGGGCUAAUACCGGAUAGGAGCUCCUGCUGCAUGGUGGGGGUUGGAAAGUUUCGGCGGUUGGGGAUGGACUCGCGGCUUAUCAGCUUGUUGGUGGGGUAGUGGCUUACCAAGGCUUUGACGGGUAGCCGGCCUGAGAGGGUGACCGGCCACAUUGGGACUGGGAUACGGCCCAGACUCCUACGGGAGGCAGCAGUGGGGAAUAUUGCACAAUGGGCGGAAGCCUGAUGCAGCAACGCCGCGUGCGGGAUGACGGCCUUCGGGUUGUAAACCGCUUUCGCCUGUGACGAAGCGUGAGUGACGGUAAUGGGUAAAGAAGCACCGGCUAACUACGUG